GUAAAGGAAGAAAUUCUGAGCCUAGAAAACUUUCUUUCUCUGUAAUGUUUCUUUAGGUUUUGAUCGUGGCUGCACCAUCUCAGAGUUCCUGCAUGUCAUUCACACCAGACAGGGACACUAGGGAGGAAAUCUAAGUCCAAACCAUGGAGGCUUUCAAUGUGAUAGUCUAAGACUGUUCCAUAAUAUAGAAUCAUAGUUAAUAGUUCUCAGAGUUGGUAGAAAUAUAUUUCAUAUCUAACAGUGAGAUAAAAGAAGAUUGGGAGGCUAUGGAAAACAUUUCCACAAAAAUUUAAACACAUAAUUAUCAUAUGAUCUAGCAUUCCCACUUUCCAAAGAAUUAAAAGCAGGCACUCAAAGAGAUAUUUGCACUCUCAUGUUCAUGGCAACAUUAUUCACAAUGGACAGGAAGCAGAAGCAACCCAAAUGUUCAUCUCUGGAUGAAUGGAGAAAUAGAACGUGGCAUAUGCAGACAAUUGAAUACUAUUCAGCCUAAAAAAGGAAGGAAACUGUGACACAUACUCUAACAUGGAUGAACCUCGAGGACAAAAUGCUAAGUGAAAUGAGCCAGUCACAAAGAGACAAGUACUGUGUGGUUCCAUGUGUAUGAGGUCUCUAAGGUAGUCAAAUCCAUAGGAACAGAAAGUGGAUUAGCGGUUACCAGGUUAGAGAGGAGGGGGAAAUGAGGAGUUGCUGUUUAACUAGUAUAGAGUUUAAGUUUUAAAAAAUGCAAAAGUUCUGGAAACUGGUUGCACAACAAUUUAGAUACACUUAACAUUAAUGAACUAUACACUUAAAAAUGGUAAAGACAGUAAAUGUUAUGUGUUUUAACCACAAUUGAAAAUAAAAUUAAAGAAUAGUGAGAGAAUGACUCUAAAGAGGUGUCUUCAAGAGUGGAGAGAAAUAAUGUGGUUUAGGACUAGAAGUUUAGGACUUAGUUUAAAAACAGGUAGUAUGCCCAAAGUUACUCUUUAAUGAACCACCAGGUGGGUUCAGCAUGUGUUGCCAUGGAUAGUCACACGAACCUGUUUAGACUGGACAGCUGUGGGUGUUUCCUGAAUUAAUUCCUCUGUUUCACUGAACUUUCAUGAUCCGCUGUUAACUGUUGAAGUUAUAUGAGAUACCGUAAGAGAAUUUAACCGAGAAACUGUGGUGCCAGAGCUGCUUUCUGUUAAGAAUUCCCAGGUGGUCCAAUGGGUAGGACUCAGUGCUUUCACUGCCGUUGGCCUGGGUUCAAUCCCUGGUCUUCCCGCAAGCCAAGUGGUGUGGCUAAAGAAAACAACAAGAAAGAAUUGCUCACUGUCCUUUUGUUCUUUUACUCUAGGAAAAUUGAUGAGGGAUCUGGAAUAUAAGACAAGUGAGUAUCUGGAGAGGAUAGUGGCUGAAGUUUGCAAAUUACCAUUUUCCUGUGAAGCUCUUAUUACUUAUGGGUCAGCCUGUUUGUUUUAAAGAGGAAGGUCUUCAUGUGACUAAUAUAUCAAAAUUCUUUAUCCUGAGUUCAGAACUAUAAACCUUUCCCCAGAUUUGCUCAGCUGUAGUGAUCCCAGUUCUUAUCUUUUUUUCCUCUCCAGUCUCAUCGCACUGCCUGAGCCUUGAAUUUUCUGUGUUUACACUUUCUAGAUUGCUAGAAACUUUCUAGUUGCUAACAGUCUGAACACAAGGUCAAAAGCAGUCUUUGUCCUGAUCCCCUGAGGAGCCUCCCACCAUUGUCAUGAAGGCCCCAGAACCUAUGGGACAAAUCUCAUUUCUAUCUUUUGUGAGGCCACACCUUUGUCUCCUUGUCCCCACAGUGAGGAUCAUCCUGAAUUCCCAGACAGCCAAUGGCUACCUCUCAGUGGCUCCAAAUGGGAAAAGUAUGAUGUUCACUGGCUUGUGGCUGAACAAAUGCCAGCGUGGUCAGUGAUUUGAUCCGGAGCCUGGGGUGCCGGGCAAGAGGAGAAUGAGGAGUUGGAGGAGGAACGAUCUCAGGAAAAUAGAAUAUGGCCAAAAUUCUGCCUGGUGGGGGUGGCAAGAGAGUCAGUGAUCCUGUCCUACUGCCCCCAGUAGAUUGGAGUUGCUCUGGAUCAUGAUGGUGGGACGGUAACCUUUACCAAUGCCAGAACUCAAGAGUUCAUCUAUGAAUUCUCAUCUGCCUUCACUGGGAGAAUUUUCCCUUUCCUGUGGCUUAACUGCAUGAGAUCCAGACUUAUGCUGAGACCCUGAGAGAGGAUCUCCUGGCACAGCCCCACGUUUUGUCAUUUACCCUUUGUUCCUUUUCAUCAGUCCCAGCUGUGCCUCAGCUGGAUGGUCCUGCUGGGUUUCUGAUUACACUCAGAUGACUGGAGCUUUAUGGCAGUCAUGAGUCUCUUGUCCUCGCAGCUUUCUCUCUAAAAUGGGGACAGUAAUAGUUGAUCUUUUUUCUCUAAGGGGAAUGGUUGGAAUGUCUUUAAUGUACUUAUUAAAAUGUGUCUUAACUAAUUUAUCUCUUCUGUUGCCUUUGAUUUGGUUCUUCACCUGCCACUGAGACAAAUGUAUUAGAACGAGUGACUGUAUUACAGAAUCUCGGCUCCUGCUACAAAUAGUAAUUGAUGACAACAUCCAUAUUGAUUUAUG
ensembl:lncRNA